GUGUGUGGAUGGUGUUCAGCUGCUUCGGCACCAAGGACAGGUGUGUUUGGCUGUGUGUGGAUGGUGUUCAGCACCAAGGACAGGUGCGUUUACCU
rnacentral:pre_miRNA from 1 species